AGCGAACGCUGGCGGCAGGCCUAACACAUGCAAGUCAGACGAACCUGUAGGGCGUAGUGGCGGACGGGGGGGGAAACAGGGGAACGGUCCGUUUAGGUGCGGGGGAACGCAGGGCAAAUGGUCCGAAAAUAGCGUGUGCCCUGCGGGGGAAGGAUGGAUCGCCGCUAGUCCGGCCGGCGUCUGGGUAGCUAGUUGGUUGUGUUAAUGGCUCAACACGGCGACGGUGCGUAGCUGGUCUGAGAGGAUGAUCAGCCACAUUGGGACUGAGACACGGCCCAAAAGCGUACGGGAGGGAGCAGUGGGGAAUCGUGUGCAACGGGCGCAAGGCGGACGGAGCCAUGCCGCGUGAAUGAUGAAGGUCUUAGGAUUGUAAAAUUCUUUCAGCGGGGACGAUAAUGACGGUACCCGGUGAAGAAGCACCGGCUAACUCCGUG
rnacentral:rRNA from 1 species